UUACUAUUUCAGGAAAUUGAUGAACCUGCAUUGAUUCCACAUAUAGCUGAAGCCAGCUCCCGCAAGUAUCCUUAUGAAGUCUUAUUUAGGAGCUUGCACAAGCUGCUUAUGGAUACUGCUAGUUCUGAGUAUCUUUUCUGUGAUGAUUUCUUUGGGAAAGAAUCUAUAUUUUAUGAAAUAUUUGCAGGUCCAUUUGUG